UGCGUAGGCGGAUCAAUAAGUCAGUGGUGAAAUCUCUCGGCUCAACCGGGAAACUGCCAUUGAUACUGUUGAUCUUGAGUUCGGUUGAGGUAGGCGGAAUGUGUAAUGUAGCGGUGAAAUGUUUAGAUAUUACACAGAACACCAAUUGCGUAGGCAGCUUACUAGACCGACACUGACGCUGAGGCACGAAAGCGUGGGGAGCGAACCGGAUUAGAUACCCGAGUAGUCC
rnacentral:rRNA from 1 species